rnacentral:lncRNA from 1 species
CCCUUGAAUUGGAAAAAGACAUGAUCCUUUCUCUGCUUCUAGAUCAUUAUUAGUAUCAUUUGUAGAUGCUUGUAGAUAUCAAGAGCAAAAGAAUAAGCAUUUAUUUGCUAUAUAUGCUUCUACAAUCGAAUCCUUUGGAUGUGCUCGGUUUUGAACAUAGGACUUUAAACUUGCUAGAUACCUAUGUAAAUGAUAGUUUCUAAUUACUUUCUAUUUGCUAUAUAUACAAUAUAUAAUCAAAAUAAACUAACUG